ACCUCCCUGUGUCCGUCUCUGUAACGAAUCUCGCACAGCGAUUUUCGUGUCAGAUAAGUGAAUAUCAACAGUGUGAGACACACGAUCAACACACACCAGACAAGGGAACUUCGUGGUAGUUUCAUGGCCUUCUUCUCCUUGCGCAAAGCGCGGUAAGAGGCUAUCCUGAUGUGGACUAGACAUAGGGAUGCCUCGUGGUGGUUAAUGAAAAUUAACUUACUACGGGGCUAUCUUCU
rnacentral:antisense_RNA from 2 species